AUACGGAGGGGGCAAGCGUUGUUCGGAAUUACUGGGCGUAAAGCGCGCGUAGGCGGUAUAUCAAGUUAGGCGUGAAAGCCCCGGGCUCAACCCGGGAACUGCGCUUAUUACUGAUAAACUAGAGUCCGGGAGAGGGUGGCGGAAUUCCCAGUGUAGAGGUGAAAUUCGUAGAUAUUGGGAAGAACACCAGUUGCGAAGGCGGCCACCUGGACCGGUACUGACGCUGAGGUGCGAAAGCGUGGGGAGCAAACAGGAUUAGAAACCCCGGUAGUCC
rnacentral:rRNA from 1 species